rnacentral:rRNA from 1 species
AACGAACGCUGGCGGCAGGCUUAACACAUGCAAGUCGAACGCCCCGCAAGGGGAGUGGCAGACGGGUGAGUAACGCGUGGGAACAUACCCUUUCCUGCGGAAUAGCUCUGGGAAACUGGAAUUAAUACCGCAUACGCCCUACGGGGGAAAGAUUUAUCGGGGAAGGAUUGGCCCGCGUUGGAUUAGCUAGUUGGUGGGGUAAAGGCCUACCAAGGCGACGAUCCAUAGCUGGUCUGAGAGGAUGAUCAGCCACAUUGGGACUGAGACACGGCCCAACCGCGUAAGGGAUGCAGCAGGGGUGAAUAUUGGAAAAUGGGCGCAAGCCUGAUCCAGCCAUGCCACGUGAGUGAUGAAGGCCUUAGGGUUGUAAAGCUCUUUCACCGAUGAAGAUAAUGACGGUAGUCGGAGAAGAAGCCCCGGCCAACUUCGUGCCAGCCGCCGCAGUAAGAC